rnacentral:tRNA from 1 species
GCCCGAGUGGCGGAAUUGGCAGACGCAGCGGACUUAAAAUCCGCGGCCGAAAGGCGUUGCGGGUUCGACUCCCGCCUCGGGCACUA